UAGAGCCAAGCUAUCCAUUUGGCUGCAAAAUAAAUGAAAUGAGAAGAACAGUAAUAUCAGCCAGCUGGACAACCAAAGCAAGGUUUGAAGUGAACUCUCUCCUCCCUCACCGAACCCACAGAAGCGCCUCCGUGCAGGGAAGCCACACAGGGCACGACAGCAGCUGACACCAUUCCUCAGAAAGGGAGACAAGUGUUCAAAUGUGGACCUCUGAACUCAGAUCCGUCUGGCCGCAGAAGAUCCUGAAACCGAGAAGAGAGAGGAGAGGUUGAAAGCAGCAGAGAUAGUCUGGUACAAAAGGAUGAAUACAGAGCUCCUUCUGGAUUAGUGAACAUAGACACUAAAAAGGCUUCUGGAA